CAGGCUGGAGUGCAGUGGUGCAAUCAGCUCACUGCAGCCUUGAACUUAAAGACAAGGUUUUAAAUAUCAGGCCUACUUUAUGACUAAAACAGGCAUACAACACGCAGCAUAAACACACCCAAAUGAGACUUGCACACAGAUGCUCCCACGUGGUCCAUUCCCUCAUGGUGUCUCCGGGGUAGGCAGGCUCUCGGCUGCAGGUCAGCCCAGCAGAAGUGGCACGGCUCCGCCAAGAGUCUGGCUCCUGGCAGGCGCUGAGGAUCAGCAGAUCUGCACUGCCAGAGCCUGUCUGUUUACCGCCCACCCCACCUCCCUGCUGCAGCGCUAGAAAAAGAAUUUGUCUUCCUUGGGGAGGAAGAUGGGCCCGAAUUAGCAGUGGAGUCCUGGGCAGAAGGAGGGGAAACUUGGCCAAGAACAGAGCCACGGUGUCCACGCAAUCACACCAUUUAUUGCUGUGCUGUCCGGGGAAGACACCGUGCAAACGCCAAAGUGCACUGAGGACAGGGGAGGGUCUGUGACUCCCAAACCCUCGAAUAUUUUAUGAAUCUUAAGAGUCCAGACGCAGUUCAUCCACAGAGAUCUGCGCCCCGUCCACACCAACACCCACGUUUGUGCACCCACAUGUGCACGGUGCUCUUCAGAGUGGCGAGGUCCUCCCCCGCGGGGAGGAAUGUGGGAGAGGCAGAGGUCACUGAGUUUCCUCCUGUUUCGUGUCACCUCUUGGCAACCUGUGCCUGGCUUCUAGAAGCGGCAUGGGCAAGAAAAGGAAGCAAAAGAGGCUCUGGCCUGCUCCUCCUUGCCCAGGAGCAAAGCCAGCAACUGUGUAGUCCCGCUGUGAGGUAAUGCCUGGCGCCGCCCGUGUAUUCCUGCAGGUCAAGACAGAUUCGGGCCGGGUGGGGUGGCAGCCCAGCCACAGAGGGCAUGCAGGGAGAACACCACCAGGAAUGGCUGCCUGGGCCGCAGCCACUUCCCGCCAGGCUCAGGGGCCUGGAGUCAGGGGGCGUCCUGCCCUUAUCUGUCCCCUGACCUCCCUGGCUCCCCAGAAGGGUCUUCUAUCAGAACACUGGGCCCUGGGCAGAAGGGAGGGCAAGGCCCGGCCUCCCCUGGUCUCUGACCUCUGCCCAGGUGCCGUGGACCUGCUGAGACGGGUUCAGAAGGCGCCAGAGAGGAACCACCUGGACCUGAGCCUGGCUCCUGGGCCCGCUCCCCUCCUGGCUGCAGCUGCACCAAGGUUCUCAUUAGCAGCGGCCCCCGCCUGGGUGCGGAACAUGCUUUGGGCAUUUGCCAUGAGGCGGCUGGGAGUUUUGCAACAGUUUCCAGGGGAGCAGAGCAGGAAGAGGGGCUUCCCCGACGAUCCCAUUCACUGCUCCUUCUCCAUGGGCCAAGCCAUGUAGGCAGGGGACAAAAUGUCAGGUCUCAGCAGCUCCCAUGGUACCUAAUGUGACACAGACAAGGCUCCAGGCCCCAUCUCACUGGCCUGGGCUCCUGACCAGUCUCGGAGCCAUCAGCUCACUCCCCAUCUUGACCCUGGAGUUGAGUCACAGGCUUGGCCCUGGCCACAAAUGGCCAGUACAGAAGGGGCCAGGCACACAGCACAUGAGGGUCUGGGGUCUGGGUGCUCACCUGGCUGUCACCCAAGCUCCUCCAAGAAGGCCCCAAGGACCUUGCUGCCUGGAAAGCCAUCUGUUUGGCUCCUUGGCACCUGGCAUGCCCAUUCCCUGAAACCCAGUCUGGUGUGGUCAACAUGCCGCAGUCUCCUUGAGUGAGCCCGGGAGCAGAAGCCCCAUCCCAGGAGGGGAGUGUGGCGGCAGUGCCAGGCAGGAGGCAGCUCUGGGGCAGAGGUGUGGACAGGAGUCUCCCACCGCCCUGGUCCUGGCUCAGACCUGCCCUUCCGGGGCUGGGGAGACGUUCUGGCGAGGAUCAUGUGGGGGAAACUUGACGAAGGCAAUGGCAGCCAGCUCCUUGCAGAACUCCUCCAGCACCACCACGCCCUGGAGGAGGGUCUGGUGGUCCAGCCUGAGGGGAGAUGGCAGAGGGGGCAUGGCUGGGUGGGGGCAGGACUGUGCCCAGCAUGACAGCCCAGCAUCCACGAGGCUUGACCCUGUGACCAGCCACCUCUCCUCCAGAGGCGCUUUCCACCCUCCCACCCCAAGGCUUCACCUGGCACCCUUGGUACUCACUGCUCCCCAGGAGCCUGGCCCGUCAACUGCUUGCGCACCAGGAGCAGCUUGCCUGGGAACUGGGGUACCCUCUGGAUUCUCUGCAUCAAGUCCCCGAUCACCUACAGCGGGAAUCACAGGGGACUCAGAUGGGGCCAGCAACACCAGCACACUCCCUUGGGCCGAGGCGUCCUCACCCUCACCAACACGGAGAAUAGGCUCCUGCAGCCGGGGGCCAGGCUGAUGUACGGAUCCAGCAGGUACUCAUGAAUAUGGGGGUGGGGGAAGAGGGCAAGCCGGGACAGGACCGAGGUCACCUGCAGGUUCAGGCUGUAUGGCUGUAGGAACAUGGUGGACAGAGCCGAGGGCUGGCAGGGCUGGUGAGCAUUUUUGCACUCCCCCAGCAAGGUGCCUGGCCACUGUGAACGUGUGUGGGGGUGGGAGGCUCACGUGAUGUGUGUGUGUGUCAUGGAUUCCAUGGGGCUGAGGGCCAGAACGUGUUAGGACGUGUGGAGCAGGGGUGAGACGGGGCUUCCCACCUGGGGAAAGGACAGGGGUGGCACCAAAGAACCGAAGCAGAGGCAACCCUGUGGCCAACCUCUGCUCUUGAAGGACCCCAGAGGCACCAGCCUGGAGUUCUCCUGGCCCAGGCCCACUAGCUACCUGAUCCAGAAUCCGGGACAUGCGGUCAAACAGCACUCGGAGGAAGUGGCCCUCGAAGAAAGGUCGCUCGGGCUCAUGGGGGUCCAAAGGUGUGGGGGUCAGAGGCCAGCCCCAGGAGGCGACGCGGGAGCUGCACUCCUGGAACUGAGACAGGCGGGAAAGUAGAGGCAGCGGGCCUGGGGACUGGGAACCAGCAGACAGGGCCCCACGCAGGAGGGAUGGGCUGGGGUCCUCGGGCAGAUGAGAGAGGGGGAACCCAGAGCUUAUGACCCAGCUGUUCUGAAGGACAGGAAGUAGGAGCUGGUAGCAGGAGCCACUCACCAGGCCAUAAGCAUCGUGGACGUAUGUGUCAUAGCCUGUCUCCUCCAGGAAGGCAGAGGUCUUGGCUUCCUCGGGGACCAGGCACAGGAAACUGAGAGAUAGAAGCCGGUGUGGAGGCGCUCCCGGCUCACCCUGCUCUCCCCUGCUUGUGGGACCCUAUCUCCCUCCCUGACUGGACCCCAGGGCUGUGGCCAAAGAAAGAGUAAAACUCAGGCCAGGCACGGUGGCUCAUGUCUGUAAUCCCAGCACUUUGGGAGGCUGAGGUGGGCGAAUCACCUGAGGUCAGGAGUUCGAGACCAGACUGGCCAACAUGGGGAAACCCAGUCUCUACUAAAACUAUAAAAAUUAGCUGGGUGUGGUGGUGCAUGUCUGUAAUCCCAGGUACUCGGGAGGCUGAGGCACAGGAAUCGCUUGGAUCCGGAACCCGGGAGGUGGAGGUUGCAGUGAGCCGAGAUUGUACCACUGCACUCCAUCCUGGGUGACGGAGCAAGACUCUAUCUCAAAAAAUAAAAUAAAAUAAAAUAAAACUCAAGUGGUUCAGACUGCCUAACUUGCUCCCCACCUGUUGACGAUCUCGGUCACUGCUGUUUUGCCAUCGUAACUGGUAGCAGGAGCUAGGCGAGGCUUUGCGCGAGGUUGAAAGCCGGAAUCCAGGAAGCUGUCGGUGAAGUAGGGGUCUUCCUCCAGG
rnacentral:lncRNA from 1 species